UCCCUGGGGGGUCUAGCGGCUAAGGAAUCCGCGCUCUCACCGCUGCACCCUGGGUUCAAUUCCCAGGCAGGGAA